rnacentral:rRNA from 1 species
AGGAUGAACGCUGGCGGCGUGCCUAAUACAUGCAAGUCGAGCGGUAAGGCCACUUCGGUGGUACACGAGCGGCGGACGGCUGAGUAACACGUAGGAACGUACCCCAAACUGAGGGAUAAGCAUCGGAAACGAUGUCUAAUACCGCAUGUGAUCUUCGGAUUAAAGCUCCGGCGCUUUGGGAACGGCCUGCGCAUGAUUAGCUUGUUGGUGAGGUAAAAGCUCACCAAGGCAGUGAUCAUUAGCUGGUCUGAGAGGAUGACCAGCCAGACUGGGACUGAGAACGGCCCAGACUCCUACGGGAGGCAGCAGUAGGGAAUUUUCCACAAUGGGCGAAAGCCUGAUGGAGCAACGCCGCGUGCAGGAUGAAGGCUCUAGGGUCGUAAACUGCUUUUAUCUGUGACGAAUAUGACGGUAGCAGAUGAAUAAGGAUCGGCUAACUCCGUGCCAGCAGCCGC